GAUCGCUGGCCGCGGCUUGCGGGGAAGAACCGCCGCGCGGAGCCUUCCGGACUUCGGUUCCACCUCCCCGCUGCAAAUCUGUGCUCUGCGCGCGCGGCCGCCAGCCGGGCAAAGAUCUGGCUGCGUGUGGGAAAAGAUAGUAACCUGGAAACAGUCCAUCCUCAACAAGUAUAAUGCUAGGUAUAGACAGUGUCUCUUGACUCCCAGCUUUAAAAGAUGAAGAUGCCAGCAUCUCUAACCUUCCAGUUGUAUCCUGUUUUUUGGACUCCCUGUUUUCUUUCCUGGUUUAACCCCUCAUCUUUUUGAAGCACACCUUCAAGAAGUUUUCUAAGAAAAAGAGCUAGGCCCGGCUCCUCCCCGCCUCCUCUUCUACCACCUGCCUUGGCCAGGCAAGCUCCUCUCACCUGGAUGAGACUCAGAAGCGGAGGCUUCUGAGUUAAAUGAACAAAUGAAUAAAUGCCAUGAGUGUUGAAAUUAGCGAUAUGAAAUAUAAAUGUGUUAUGCCCGAGGACGCCAUCUGAAAUGUAAUUGAACGUUUUUCUCUGCAGGCUGCAGAUGAAGCUUUAAUCUCCCUCAUACAUCUCCGUUGCUGUAAAUUCCUGCUCUAUUAUGGUACCAUAUGCCGUGAUUCCCUGGGAGAAAGCCACAGUAAGCUUGGCGGUGAGCUUGGGCUUCUGAGCUGUUUGUGCCGCGUGUUGAAUCACAUAUUAUCUCACACUUAAAGUGGCCGACAUGUGCCUCCAUGUGAAUGGGGUCAUUUCUGCUCACCUCCUGUGCAAAGGGCUGUGACUGAAGGGCUGCUCCAGGGGAAUUCAUCAAAGACUCGGAUAAAAGAGGCUUUGAAAAGCGCAGAACACAUUUCCUUUACUCUUGGCUGAUAAUUACUGCAAAGCAGUUCAUCUCAGACGUUAUUUUAAUAGACGAGUGAGUUCUUGGAUAUUUUCAGAGGAUGACAGAGAAAGGUGUACUGGCUCAGGAUGGAGGACCCGGGGUUGCAGCUGUGUGCAGGCCGUGGGACUGGCGGGGGUGGUCAGAGGACGUUCUUGACUUUUGUGUUCUCUGGGCUUAAAGUUAAAAAAAAAACUGAACAAACUGUGCUAUGACCCCCAAAUGUUUCUUCAAGGCCCAGCCACUAUGGAAUUCACUGAGGUCUUCAUUAGCUUAUCAGUCAAAGUCUUCAAUUUUAUAUUGUUUUUCUAAAAAUCAAAUUUAUUGAGGUACAAUUUGCAUAGCAUAAAAUGCACACAUUUUAAGUAUAUGGUUUAAUGAGUUUUGACAAAUGUGUACACCAUGAAACCAUAUCUCCAAUCAAUAUAUAGAUAAUUUCCAUCAUCCAAAGUAUUCCCUUGUGCCCAGUAGUAUACUGGUAAAUAUUUAACAGCAGGCUCUCUGGAAAAAGUUAUAUAUUUAACAUCUAUUUAUUUAGCAUAUUAAUAACUUAACAUAUUAAAAGUAUUAUUUUAAAAGUAUUAUGAAUUUUGCUGAUAUAAAGGAUGUUUAUUACUAAUUUAUAAGUAAUAAUAAAAUGUAUUUUUUUUAUCGUAAAUCCCAUACAGUCAACUGAUUAUCACAAAAUGUUUUCACUGAUUUUUCCAGAGUCUUGUAUCUGUAGCCAACCAAAGUUUGCAAUUAACUAGUGUAGUUCUGACCUGUCGGUUGCUAGUUUCAUUUACUUUAAGGAGUAAGACAAAAGUGAAACAAGACAUAUUUUGGAACAUCACUUGUUUGUUAAAGACAUAAACAACUUCUUUGCUGAGUUAGAUUAUAGUUUUGAAUGCCAGAAGAAUAUUGUCUUCAUUUUUUGUGCUAGUUGUAGUGUAACAGCUAUACACACUACUCACUUCUUUUUAUUAAAGUAUAAUUGAUUUACAAUGUUUCAGAUGUACAGCAAAGUGAUUUACUUAUAUAUAUUCUUUUUCAGAUUCCUUUCCAUUAUAAGUUAUUACAAGCUAUUGAAUAUAGUUCCCUGGGCUAUACAGUAGUUCCUUGUUAUUUAUCUAUUUUAUUCAAUAUAUAUAGUAGUGUGUAUCUGUUAAUCCCAAAUUCCUAAUUAAUCCCUCCUCCACUUUCCCCUUUGGUAACCAUAAAUUUGUUUUCUAUGUCUGUGGGUCUGUUUCUCUUUUGUAAAUACGUUCAUUUGACAAUAGACAGUACAUGGAAGCAACCUAAAUGUCCAUCAACAGAUGAAUGGAUAAAGAAGAUGUGGCACAUAUAUGCAAUGGAAUAUUACUCAGCCAUAAAAAGGGAAAAAAUUGAGUUAUUUGUAAUGAGAUGGAUGAGCCUAGAGUCUGUCAUACAGAGUGAAGUAAGUCAGAAAGAGAAAAACAAAUACUGUACGCUAACGCACAUAUAUGGAAUCUAAAAAAAUGGUACUGAUGAACCUAGUGGCAGGGCAGGAAUAAAGACGCAGAUGUAGAGAACGGACUUGAGGACACUUGCGGGGGAGGGGAGGGGAAGCUGGGAUGAAGUGAGAGUGUAGCACUGACAUAUAUACACUACCAAAUAUAAAAUGGAUGGCUAGUGGGAAGCUGCUGCAUAGCACAGGGAGAUCA